CUUAAUGAGCAGCUAAGAACUUGUUCACAAACAACAAACGCGACUAAGCUGUCUUUCACCGGCUGGUGGGCACAUGAGGAGCCUCUUCGGAUGAAGAGCAGUCUGGAUUUUGGGAGCCUUUGGCUGGAGAGCGACCCAAAGUUGGGCUGUUUCUGUUGGACAGGAUGGACAUCAUUGUAGCAUGUCAAGGACAUAGUGCAGAGAUGUGACGACCCAUCUGCAUUUCAUGGGCCUUUGGACCUCCUCCAUGUUGCUGACGAGCUUGGUUGUCUUGCAGCCAGUCAGACAAGGACCUGGACUGAGAGAGGGAGCAGGACUUGCCACACCCUCACUAUGCACUAUGCCCCCAAGUACCUGAACCUCAGAGGAAGAAGAGACACCAAGGAUGGCGGGGGAGGCCUUUGUCCAAGCUGAGGUCUGGAAAACAUUCUGCUCCUCACCCACAUACAGGCACUGGACGACAGAACCAAUGAUGCACUUUGUCACAUGAAGUCCAUCACACAUCAGCAAUGAAGAACCUUGAAGAAAUAUCAGGUUCUUUUGAAGAGGAUGGAGUGGUGAUCUACGAUGUUGACACACUCAGAUCAGUAAGCAUCCUCUAGAUGUGUAGUGCUUCUUUGAGAACACUACACUCAAAAAAAACAAGACAAAAGGGAACCACUCUGGCCAGGAGGACGCUGCCUCCUGCAUCAACAUCUAUGGAAUGGCUGCUUGGACUAGGAGGGCAUGGUUCCUUCUUUUUAACAAGGCCAGACAUCCACUCUAAUUGCCCAGCAGGCCAAAUGUACUGUUGCAGUAACUGUGUGCACUUAGAAAAAGUAAGUAGCAUUAAAAAUGGCAGCAUAAACUGGGCAUGCACAGUUUUGUUAAGCCUUUUAAAAGUUAUGUCACAGGAAUAGAAUAUCUGGGGGAUAUUAGAGGUCAGUAAGUGGGUAAAUUUGGUAGCAGAGACAGAAAAAUGCUUCAUUCAAACAUCCCUCCAUGUAGGCCACCUAAAUAAGAAAACUCUAGACAUUUAUACAGUCCACAUGGUUCCUUGGCUCACAAAAGGCUCUCAAUCUUUACAAGGGCAAAUUUUGAUAACCAAUAUUAAAGAGUACAUGAAAUUAAGUCCUUUGUCUAACAACCUAAAAAUAUAUCACGUUAAUCAAUUUGAUAAUAAAAAAGAUAGAACUGUAUAAAAAUGAGAUUUCCUUAAAAAUUGCAGAAGCUGCUGGUGAGGUUGAAGUGGAAAUUUGGUGGGUGUGGCACCAUCAGUAGGGCCCGUCCAGGCUGCCACAGGAUGGCCGGGACCAAAAAUUACUGCUGCCUGUUGGGCCUUCGGCCAUAUUCAGCUUUGAGGCCAGGGCUACGCCUGUACCUCGCGCCGCUGUGUGACUGCGGCGAUCACAGAAGGCAGCACACUGCCGAGGCUUCAUCAGCUGCUUCCUGUCUGUGUCUUCAGUCUGUUUCACAGCCUGGGCAGCUGCAACUGUAGACACCUAGGUGGUCUGAGCCAGGGCGUAGAGUGCCUGGCCUCAUUUUUGUCCUGACUCGACCUGUGGCAUGAUUAUCCAUGGCACUGUCAAAACCACAAGACACAGACAUGUUGGAUGAUGUGAUGUUUGUGCUGGUCAUUGAGUGGCCACAGGUAGGUUUGACUGUAACUUAGUGGUUAUGUAGUCAGGUGUUUAGGUGUCCACCUGUGGAAGGCUGACUUCCUGUUCACAGUGAAAGAAACAGCUCAGACAGACUUGUGAUCAUCUGCUUCCUGGUUAGUUUUCAUUUACAUUCAGGGUUGGGGUGAGAGAAGCAUCUGCACUGAUUGUUAGCUGUCUGUCUGUGGGUUAUCCUGAAGAGUCUUGUCAUGCCCAUUGUCCCUGUGCAUGGUGCUUUACAGGGCCAGUGAGGCUUGAGGUGUAGAGUCUUGAGUCUAGGUGUAUUGUGACUGCAGAAAACGCCUUGGUGUGCUGACAGCUCGGAAUCCCGAAACCAUAUAAUUGUGUACCUUUUACACAAACCCCUGAGCUCUCGGUGCAUCAUGGUUCUGUGGUUGCUGUAUGCUGAGACGCAGGACUCUCCUUUAAGCCUCGCAGGCCUUGUGGACACCAGGCAUGGGGAUUUGGGUUUGAGAAGACUGUUCAGGGUAACCUGUAGACAGAUGGCUGACUGAUUAGUGUGCAUGGUUCUCUGAUUCUGACCCUGAAUGUGAAUGAGACUACCAGGCUGUGGCUGAUCACAUCUUUCCAGAGAUGGGUCUCUUCACCAUGCACAGGAACUCAAAUUUUCACAGGUGGGAUGUUUGUUUGUUGGGAUCUUGUGUGAUCCAGUGGGACAGGUCUAGUCAUCUGUUUCAGUCGUGUCACAGGUAAGGUGAUAGGGUCUUUUCCUAGAGGAAGUAGCACGGGGUGUAGGGUUGGCACGUGAGUGCCGGACUGUUAGAGUAGCAUCUUGUGCCCUUUGCAUGCAGCAUCUGUGGGUAGUGUCUGGUUGUCCUACCGGCUCAGGGGUUUGUUAGGUACACCUUUAUAAGGUUUCGGGAUUCUGAGCCUGUGGGAUGACCAGAUGCCACCUGCACCUGCCGUUUUCAAAGCAGCAAGAUGGUUAGAUAAAGGCUUUACUGGCCUACAGAGUUCCUAGUCUAGGGUUUUAGGAGGAGAAGCAUUUCUUGGUGUGACAUUCCUCUGCUCUUGGUUUGUCUGAUGGGGAGUUGAUGGUUGUGUGAAGUUUUCGGCUGCAGUUUCUAGAGAGGAUGAAUACCCUGCUGGUUAUGAACCAGAGUGUUUAUGUUUGUUUCUGUGCUGGUCAUUGAGUGGCCAUAGCUAACAGUGUUUAAUGGUAGGGUAGUUUGUCAUCAUAGCCAGUAGAUCACCCGAGUGAAAGGGUAGCAGAUAACUUAGUGGUUGUGUAGUCAGGUGUUUAGAUGUAUGCAUUAGACACUCAGGUGAAGGCUGGAGCAGAGCUGUCCACCUGUGGAAGGCUGACUUCCUGUUCACAGUGAAAGAAACAGCUCAGACAGACUUGUGAUCAUCUGCUUCCUGGUUAGUUUUCAUUUACAUUCAGGGUUGGGGUGUGAGAAGCAUCUGCACUGAUCGUUAGCUGUCUGUCUGUGGGUUAUCCUGAAGUGUCUUGUCACGCCCAUUGUCCCUGUGCGUGGUGCUUUACAGGGCCAGUGAGGCUUGAGGUGUAGAGUCUUGAGUCUGGGUGUAUUGUGACUGCAGAAAACGCCUUGGUGUGCUGACAGCUCGGAAUCCCGAAACCAUAUAAUUGUGUACCUUUUACACAAACCCCUGAGCUCUCGGUGCAUCAUGGUUCUGUGGUUGCUGUAUGCUGAGACGCAGGACUCUCCUUUAAGCCUCGCAGGCCUUGUGGACACCAGGCAUGGGGAUUUGGGUUUGAGAAGACUCUUCAGGAUAACCUGUAGACAGAUGGCUGACUGAUUAGUGUGCAUGGUUCUCUGAUUCUGACCCUGAAUGUGAAUGAGACUACCAGGCUGUGGCUGAUCACAUCUUUGCCAGAGAUGGGUCUUUUCACCGUGCACAGGAACUCAAAUUUUCACAGGUGGAAUGUGCCUGUUCCCAGUGAGCAUAGACUCAGGAUUACUGCUGUGUAUUAGCAGAGAAGACAGGUUGUUAGAGUAGCAUCUUGUGCCCUUUGCAUGCAGCAUCUGUGGGUAGUGUCUGAUUGCCCUACUGGCUCAGGGGUUUGUUAGGUACACCUUUAUAAUGUUUCGGGAUUCUGAGCCUGUGGGAUGACCAGUUGCCACCUGCACUUGCCGUUUUCAAAGCAGCAAGAUGGUUAGAUAAAGGCUUUACUGGCCUUGUGAGACAGUGUUGGUGUAGAUUAAAACUUGUUUGACUUGAAGGUUUUGUAAGCAUUAUUGGAUUUGAGUUAGGAAGUUUAGGUAAAACUGCAGCCCCACAAUGCCUUUGUGUUUUGUGUGUCUGACUAGUCCACUGGUGAUCAUGUGAUAGGCCUGGACUUGGUGAAUCUGAGGCCAGUAAUUAUGUGUCAUGGUGAAGACCUCCUCGGGGUCUGUGCUCUGCACUGUUCAGGUUGUGUGAUGGUCUGACAGCAUUCCAUUACAGACAUCCCAUUUUUUCAUUUCUGUUUAAUUCCAUCUCUGGCCUUUUCCUGGCAUCUGGAAGCCACAUUGUUGCUGAUAUUAAGCUCGGGGUGGUGUUGCCUCUAGUGAUCGUUAAAGCGCUCCUCAGCAGCUCGACGUACAGGUGUAGCCCUGACCUCUCUGCUGGAUGUGGCCAGAGGCUCUACAGGCAGCAACAAUGGGGUCUCGGUCCUCCUGUUGCAGCCUGGACUGGACGGCAUGGGGUGCCACAUCCACCACCUCACCAGCAGCUUCUGUCAAGGAAGCUGGGGCCGUUACUAAAAUGGCCCCAGCUUCCACGACUGGAGGGCCAAGGUAGUUGGGGGCCGUUUUAGUAACGGCCCCCAGCUACCUUGGCUGGGGGGCCAAGGGGGCCAGAGGGCCUCCUUCUUUAAUGGCCCCAGGUACCUCGGCUGGGGGGCCAAGGAGGCUAGAGGGCCUCCUACUAAAAUGGCCCCAGCUACCUCGGCUGGGGGGCCAAGGAGGCUAGAGGGCCUUGUACUAAAAUGGCACCCAGCUUUCUUGGCUUGAGGGCCAUCUGCUUCAUUGGUUAAAGGCUUUAGCUGUUCCCUUUGGAAGAGCUUCCAGGAAGCUCUUCCUGAUCUAGGAAAGGUUGGCCUUAACCUCACAGCCUCCCAUUUACUCAGGAUUCAAAGAACUGGUGCUGAACUACUGGUUGUCAAAAAGAUCGAGUGGUCCAGUCAGCACACAGUAUAUUAGCUGCCUUUAAAACACAAUGCUACUUUCAUUAUACAAGGAAUGAGUGAAUUCCUCCACAUGGGUUCACUUUCAGUGUGCACACAGUGAAACGCAGCAUGUCUUGUUUGCUUGGCCUUGCAUAUUAGUGUCAUCUCAUCGAAUUAUAUCUGUUUUUCAUAAUGAAACCUCAUUAGUGCCAGCUUGCCAGUGUGCUUGAUCUCUGCUACUACUAUAUCUCUACAUCUGCCUGAACAAAUGUCUUAAGAAUGCUCAGUGUUGGGGGGGAAAGUCUCACACUUGUAUAGUAUAGACUCGUGUCUUGAACAGUUAACCACAUUAUCCUUGAAGUAGGGCAAAACCACAGGAUUCGAUGACUAAUUUUGUUAAAAACAUUAGG